rnacentral:rRNA from 1 species
GACGUAGGGCGCGAGCGUUGUCCGGAUUUAUUGGGCGUAAAGAGCUCGUAGGCGGCUUGUUGCGUCGACCGUGAAAACCCGGGGCUCAACUUCGGGCUUGCGGUCGAUACGGGCGGGCUAGAGUUCGGUAGGGGAGACUGGAAUUCCUGGUGUAGCGGUGAAAUGCGCAGGAUAUCAGGAGGAACACCGGUGGCGGAAGGCGGUUCUCUGGCAUGUCCUGACGCUGGAGGAGCGAAAGUGUGGGAGCGAACAGG